UUGUACCUACAGAGAUGGUUGGCAUCUCCGCUGACAGGGACGGGAACAGUCUGCGGACUUACUUGUAACCACAUAUCUGAUUAAAGAUAGAGCUUUAGUGAAACUGUGAAAGCUCUAGAUAGAACUCUCGUCUCUGU